GACACAGGGCCUGACAGAUGAGAGCUAAGGGUUUGGACUGAGUGAGAGAGAUAUUUAGGUAGGUGCUCUGACAGGAUCUAUGGGAUUUUCUCCCAUUUUAGAGAGAGAUGGACAGCGAGAGAGAUACAGAGCAGAAAGCAUAGGUGUGUGUAUUCUUGGGUCUUCCGAAAACGCUAGAAACCUAAAACAUUCUCAGCUGCUCUGCAACGGGUUGGCGACUUCGAUCAUGCGUCCUACAGUCCGCAUCGAUCUCUUCCAUGUCUGCUUCGUGAUCCCUUCGAUCCCUUCAAGAGGCACUUGAAAGCGAGGCAAUCAUGGUUAGAUUUCAUGUGGUUCAUGAUAGACUUGGUCAGGCUUUAGAAGGUUUGCCUGAUGAACUUUGCCUAUCAGAUGAAGUUAAGGAACAGGUAUAUACAUAUAUGUCCCUUUUGUCCAUUUUCAAGCUAAUGCUUCCCAUGUGUUAUUUCAUUUUUUUCACACGGACAGAUCUUUUAUCAAUUCAAACUAUUCUCACUUUGCUGCACACGAUUGAUAUAAGUCCGUCUAGGUUUGACGAGAUUCAGAGUACUUCUUAUGAAAUUGGUCACACGGACCACUACGGGGAAGACAUCCUCCAAACCCUCUACAUAACAUUGAGAAUCUGAGAUUGGAGGUGAUAAGUAGCUGGUUUUAGCUUCUGACGCAGACACUUGAAGAAGGAGCAAAGAUGAAUGCAUUAGUGGCGACGAACAGAAACUUUAAGUUUGCUGCUUGGCUUUUGGGAUUGGACUCCAAGCUUGAGAAAAGUUUACUUAUACCAUUUAGGGAAAUCAAGAUAAUUUUGCAUAUAGUCUCCCUUAUGUAUAUCCCUUACUCUUAAUUAUAGGUUGAGUGUACUAUACCAAAAGACGAUGGCAGUUUGGCUUCAUUUGUUGGCUUCAGGGUUCAACAUGACAAUGCUAGAGGCCCCAUAAAGGGAGGAAUCAGAUAUCACCCAGAGGUUGAUCCGGAUGAGGUGAAUGCUUUGGCACAGCUGAUGACAUGGAAGACGAAGGUAGCCAACAACCCAUAUAGGGGUGCCAAAGGGGGUAUAGGAUGUAAUCCAGGGGAGUUGAGUCUUUCCAAACUAGAGCAACUCACCAGAGUUUUCACACAAAAGAUACACUAUCUUAUCGAAAUACACACCGAUGUUCCAGCACCAGAUAUGGGGAUAGGUCCACAGAUUUUAUAAAUUUGGAUCAUUUGAGGAAGCAGUUGGUUCCAUGCUGUUUUGAGAUCGAAACAAAGUGAAAGCUUUUGAUUGUGAAUUUUGCAACCGCUACCUUGCUGCUUUGGUAAAGUCUCAACUUCUUGAUAAUAUCAAUUAAUUUUGGCUGUAAUUUUAGGGUAUUGAGUUGAAUGCAUAUGCUACAUGGCAUAGGUUUAACAUGAUUACAACUUUAAUAUCAUGAUUUGUGAUGCUAAUUAAGCACAAUAUGAGUAUCUGUACCAAGAAAGACAUGAGCAUCUAACGGAUCUACUUUCUUUGCAAUUUCAAUUUGGGAAUUGAAUUUAUUAACAAAA